UUAAUUCCAUGGCUUUAGCUAUUCUGGUUUUCAAAAUGUAGGCCUUUGUAUCUCUUGGGGUUCCAGGUUUUGCAAGUGGAGUCACAGAUAUGGUGGAAUUUUGGUUGGUGAGAUGGUGGUCUGAGAAAUAACUGGGUCAAUAGCUAAAACAUAACUUGAAUUGACUCUUGGGGGAGCAUUUGGGGACCAUGCUGUUUGUCUUCCUCUCUUGUUAUUCUGCUUCCUUUCAUCUCACUUGCUCUUGCAGUAAUCAUGCAGGGGUGAUGCAUGGGUACUGGUGGGUGGGGAGGAUAAGAUCUCGUUGGAGGGUCCUGGGCAUCUCUCCUUUUCUGCCUAUGGGCUCUGCUGAAAGGCAGCAGGUACAAAUAUGAAGGCUUUGCUGCUGCCCUGCUCCAGGCUUUCCUGUUCACCCUCUACCCUGUAGAGCCUGGCUGCAGGCUGAGUGUCCUUCUUGCCUCUAAAGGUGCUCAGUAACAAUCAGUAGCAGCCUAAGCUGCAGGAAAGGGUGGAAUAUGGGGCUGGUAAACCGAUAUCCUGGGAAAACAUUUGGCAAAAUUGGAGCAAUAAUAUAGCAAAAGAAAAUGUGAGGUCUUAUAGGCAUGGACAACAAUUUUGUUACUGAACAGAAGUGGUUUUGUGCACUCACACUUGCACACCUGUACUCAUGUGCAGGUGGAUGCCAGCAUCUAAGUGGUGGUUGGCUCUGGGUCAGAUUGGCACAGCCACCACCAACAGCCCCGAGUGGGGACUGACCACCAGAGGAGUGACCCACAGCCUGCCGGGAGCACAGGCUGGAGAGCUGGGCUUGGGAGCAGGAGGAUGGCACCCUACAAAACAGCACCCCUGUACAACGCCAUGCCUUGCAGAUGUGUUUGUGAAGUCUCAGGGUAUAACGUAGGAGCAGACUUGGUUAUCCUGUCCUGACCAGGGGGAUGAGACAGAUUAAAAGUGGGACUUGGCAAUUGAGACAAGAGAAUAAAACAGACUUCCCAGAACACUGAAAUGGCACAAGACAGCAACUUCACCUGAAAGAGAUCCUUCAAAUUUUAAUGCCUUUCCUUACAAAUCAUAAUUUAAAACACUUUUUUAAUGAAGUGCGUAUUUUUUUAUUUGAAAAAAACUCUUAGAAUAGUACAUUUUUAAUAAAGGGGUUUUAAAAUAUGAUUUCACAAAAGUCAGAAAUAUUUUCUGCUUUAAAUUACAUCCCUCUUAUCAUUUUACUGAAAUUAAUAAAUGGUUUCUAGGGCAACUUACCAAUAGCAUUAGGGUUCACUUUUUUGUUUCUUGAGGGGUCAGGGAGGUCUUCAUCAAAGAAAUCAGAUAGACAAAAAUGUCAGAGCUGUGCUUUGAUGUUUUCCCACCCCUUGCUGAAGCAAAAAAAAUUGCCUGUUAAUGUGAUAAAAAGGAGUGAGGCCAGCUAGAGAUUUAUGCCCUCCUGGAGACAUAGUGUGUCAGCUCUCUUCCAAAUUCUCUCAUGCUAUUUCCAUGGCAACUCCAUAUAAUGAUAACUCCCACAGAUUUUCUCCUUUUAUCUGUUAUUUUGGUCCCAGAUAGUGAUUGAGUUGAGGCAUACAUUUCUUUCACACCAUUUGAUGCCCAUCGACAACCAAAGUAAAUAAUGUCCUCAUUCUUCAGUCUUUAGAAAGCACAGUUAGUUCACGGCCCUUUCAGGAAUUCACCUGCAGAGCUGGACAGAGCUGAGACAGGAAAAGCAGUGCUCAGAGGAAACCGCAAUGGAUGAAUGCUCACUGUCAGCACAAUGUGACAGGAUUACAUUCCACCCUGCUUUUCUCCUCCCCUUGGCCACGGUAACAGAUGGACACUAAGGAGGAGGCCAUGGUGUAAUGGGAGGAUGGAUGGUUUGGAUGCAGGGAGCUGCAUCUCAGCUGUUCUGCCCAGGGAGACAGGAGGUCAUUCUGCCUGACUGGGAGAUGCUCCCAUUCCCCCUGAUGUCUGCUCAUGAUUGCAAAUCUGGUCCAGCUCAUGAGACAAGGAUCGGGAGUUUCAGCCAGGCAUAGCUGCAGCCAGAAAAUCCCUUGACGAAGUGCUGCUAACCCAUGGCUUCCUCCCUCUUAUGAAAUCUCUUCAGCAAGAUGCUGCUGGCUGAUUUUACACAGCAGAAGUUGCAGGCAUGCAGCUUGUUCCAGGAAACUGCACUUGCUUCAUCUAGCUGGUAAGGCAGGACAGGCCGAAUAUUAGUGCUGAAGCAGAGGGUCCACAGAGGUCCUGGAGUCCAGCUGCCAGUGUGGUCUGAACUGAGCUUCUGUGCUUGGUUUGCAAUUGAAUGCCAGGGACAAUAGGACAGUCUGAAUGUGAAGACGUAUACCAAAUAUCCCCUUUUUGCCCUGAGAGCACCCAGAUAUUUUGACACUCUUCAUUUCUUCCUACAGAGGCUUCCAUUUAAGCAGAUGAACAGUGCUAGGUGAGAGGUCAUUCUCCUCCAGGAGGGGAUCUUAAACCUUAUACUUGAUAAUAGUGUCCCUUCUGAGGAAGGCUGCUGCUCAGAAGAGCUGUCCUACCUGUUUGAUCCCCUCUGUCCUGUAAACCAGAUGUUGGUGGGAGCAUUUCUCCAUUACAGGGAGGGGAAUGAGGGCACAGUAUCAGUCAUAUAGAUUGGAAAAGACCUCUGAGAUUAUCAAGUGCAAUCUUCAAUUGAAUGCCACCAUACCCACUAAGCCAUAUCAUUAAAUUCCAUCUCGAUUUGAUUUUUGAACAAUUCCAGGCAUGGUGACUCCACUGCUUCCUGUAGUUUGAGUCCUUGCCUGGAAGCAGCCCAGGUUUGGGUCUCUUUUCUGAAUGACACAGAGCAAUUCACCUGGGCAUGUGGGUGAGCAAUCACCUAGGCAUGGUGAAAAUUUGACCUUCACCUUCUGCCCUGAAUGUAGGAAUUAUCAUUUUCCCAUCAUGCUAGCAUGAUGGAAGGAUAAGCAUGUGGAAGACCUUCUGAAGGACUCCUAGCAACUCAAAACACAUAUCAAAAACAAGACAGGAGAAUUUCUGAAUAGCAGAUCUAAGGUCUCCAAUGCAUAUUGGUGACCAGCACCUUGUUCACAUGUAUUGUGAUGAUCCUAUCAAACACAAAAAAUACCCUAUUCCUCAGAGUAGAACUGAGGUUGAGAGAGUGGGGUUAAGCACAGUAACAAAUCUCUGUUAAGAAGGAGGCUGCAAAGACAUGUUUUUGAAAUCCUUUUAUGUUUCCAAGUUCAUGGGGUUUUUUUUUAUUUCUUAGGAUUAUGCUAAGACACAUAUAUCCAUAAAAAUGAUUCCUUACUUAGACCUAUAGAUGUCUCUAAGGUGAGAAAUAAAGUCAAAGAAACUUUUGCCAUUGAUUGUACCUGUAAGAAUUUAACUUUUAUUCCCAAUGUUCUCACUUCAAAUGUAUCAUCAUGCUUCUAUUAAUUUCAGUGUGAGCAUUGUAUACACAGUUGGAGGUACAGCAUGCCCCAAAAGCUGGCUACAUUUGAAGAGUGCACUGUGAAAGAGAAAUAAGGCUAGACACUAGCAAGGGUUUCAUCUCUGGGAACCUGUAAAGGAGCGUGCAGCUUCUUUCAGCAUUUCCUCAUUCAUUCCAUAAAGUUGAUUCCACUUUUAGAGAGUAUUGCCAGACAAUAAAGACAAAUGAUAUUCAAAAAAAGGCAAAACUCAUCAUGAAACUUGCAGAGAAAGGACUUUCCCCUCCUCCCACCCCACUUGUCCAAGGAUUUGGAAAAAAAGCACUGGUAGUCAGAACCAGGGCUAGACACCUCGGUACACCAUCUGGCUUUAGAACUGCUGCUGUUGGAUGAAAAAUGUGAUCACCACCAAAAAACAAACUAGUGAUCUGGUGUGAACUCACUCGAAGGCUUUGAACAGGUUAAAAAUAGUUCAUAGUGUUUCUUCACGCGUUCCGGGUAACUCGGCAGGAACGGAACCAUGUGUUCACGAUGGAUGCAGAUAUCACAGUGCCCCCGCCUGGCUACUGAGGAUCCGAUGUCACGGUGAAACUGAGGCGGUUCCAGAUUUUGUGUCCUUGAUGCCUUAAGUUUUAGCUUUCAUAGUUUCCAGAUUCUGCAAUACAUUGGCAUAUAACUCUGAACUUCAUAUAAAGUGUUAGCAAAUUCUCCUCACAGGGUGAGGAGAACUUUAGGCAAAACAAUCCUUUCCAGCCUGAGAACCAAGAACACCGUUACAGCUUCAGGCCCAAAAAAGUAUAAACAGUGAAUUGAGGAGAGCAAACUGAGAGGAUGGAACUUCAUAACCUGAAGCUGUAGUUGGACAAUUAAUUAACCCCAGUAUGUAAAUGGACCAAAACUUACAGAAGUGUGAAAAUGUGAUAGCUGUUGUCCAUCUAGUGGAGCCUCAGCCAGGCUCUUGUACUGCCCAAGGUGUACUUUCUGAAGGCCUUUUAAACAAAUACCUAUUUUAUUCCUUUAACACUGUCUAGCCACUGUUCUAGGUAGCCUCUCAAGGCAUUAUCCUCACAAGGGACAGGUUUUUGUUUGACUUUCAGAGAGUUCACUUAAGCACAGUGAGCAGUGAGCUGAUGUCCUCCUAGGACAGGAGCAGGGUAGCAGAGUGGGGGACAGUGGCACUGCGAUGCUGCAAAAACUGAGUAGACUGCUCUUAGGUCAUUUGAAGCAGUACUACAAUUGUCCCACAUUCCUUCCAUCUGCCUGUACUCUAGAGAAUUGAGCAUACCUUGGCCCAGCACACACAUCCUUGCAUCAGUGAAUCCAUCUGUUUGUGAGCUGACUUGUGCUCAGGAACUGGGCACUUAAUCUUGGCCCUGGUAAUGUCUCAUCUCACACAAAUCAUUUGCUGAUUUAAACCCAAAAAUCUGGAUGUAGCACAGGAGAACCACAACACAGUCUCUAUAUGUAGUAGUGAUGGUUGUGAUGGGUGAGGAGAAAGGACAAAGACCUGAUUCUUCACUGUGUAACAGAUUUGUCCGUGUUGUUGCCAGAUACCACAGACUUUGACGCUGGCAGUCUCCUGGCUUUCUGACUGGCAUAGUUCCACCUAAGGCAAGCCCAGAAGCUGGUAGCCUCCAUUUGGGAAGCUGCACACAGAAUGGGGAGCAGAGCUGAUGACCUGUAUUCUGCGUGGACACUCAGUUUGCCAGAAGCAUGCCCACUUGCUGCCCACCCCUGCAACUGCCCAUUCUCGCAGCCUUGUGAAGCAUCAGGAGUCUGCAGUGCAGGGUCUGGGGUCUGACUGAUCUUCCUUGACCACAGAUACCUUACCAAAGAUGAGCAGCAGCCUCUCCAGGCAACCAUUUCUCUCCAGCAGCUGAAGUGCAGACAACCAGGAAGAGGCUAGUUGAAAUCAAACUAAACUGUGCCUAAAAUAAAAUGAGUUCAGAGAUAAACUCUUUGUGCUGCUGUAUAAAACAAGCAGAACGUCACAAUGGAUAAGAUUUCUUUUUUCAGCUGCAUAGUUAUAGUUGCUUGGGUUUUCUGGUGUGAGUUUUUUACUGUUGUUGUUGUUUCUGUUAUUGGAACAUGCUGAGUCAAAGAAAUCAUUGGUGGCAAAAUUGCAAAUUCUAUCGAAGUCCAAGGCCAUGAAAUAACAUUACUGUUCCUGUUAUUGUUGUUAUUAUUAUUAAUAAUAAUACUAAUGUUAUUAAGAGCGUUAAUACCGAGGCUGUGCUGAGGCGGCUUUUCCUGCCCGGGUGCGGUUCCUGUCGGAGCCGGGCGCGUUUCCCGCUCGGGACCAGCCCCCGGCGCCGCGGACGCUCCGCGGGGCAAGGGCGCCGCCCGGCGGCCGCUGGCGGAAUGCCAGGAGGAGCCGCCCGCGGGCUUUCCAGUCCUGCCGCCAGCUCCUCUCCUCGCACCGAUCCUCCCAGCCUCGCCUCCCCCUUCCUCUGAGGAGCCAGAAACCUAAACACAGCCUCCUCCCCGUUUUCCAGGAGGUUGCUUUCAAUCCUGCAAGAGUUAGCGCGCUGGGACGUGGCCCACUGCUCUGGAGAACAUCGUGGGUACCGGGUGGGUGAUGGAAUCGCUCUGGGACCCUGCGUGCCUCAUUCAUUUUGCCCCUGGCAUCAGUCUCAGGUGGCUGAGGGUAGAUGUCCUGUGAGGCAUGAAGAGCCUCUACCCUGUGUCCUGGGUCAGAAGCUGAGUCUGCUCAUCCAGCACCUACAGCAGUGUCUAAAAAUUCCAAUGGGCUCUGCAGUUCGUACAAGAGAGCCUCUGCUGCGGUAGCUUAGACAACACACCCCAAAUCACAGCUCUCGCUUGAGCAAGGAGUUCUUUCCCUCCACCUUGAUAAACUGCUUGCAAAGUAGGCGAUGAGGAGGCGAUGGUGUGUGAGCGACCCGCAGUGCCCAGAGUGGCCAGUGGCAAGCCUGGAUCCAGAGAUGGUUUGUUUCCUCGGGGCUCUCAACAGGGCUUCUGGCUUAUUUCUGAGUGCUGAUCCUUUUUGAAUGUGAAGAUUGCCACAGAAUUCAUACGUGAGAGUUCUCUCUUCCACUCUGCACAGAAGUACAUGAGGACCUGCAGGGAUGAACAGCUCAUCCAGCGAAAGGAAGCACUCAGUGGGGUGGGCCAUGCUGAGCCCUAAGACAGUUCUUUACAUCCUUCCCACUUCUAUUUUACUGUAAAAUCCUGAGGCUUCUUAGGAAAAGACAUACCAGGUUUCUCUCAAUUAAAUUAAUCCAAACUUUAAAGAACAUCCUGGGCUUAGUGAACCAGCCAAGAAGGAGGCAGUUAUGAAAAAUGAGAAAAUAGGUAGUGAUGGAGAGAAGCUUAGCACUAUCUCAGUGGGACCCAACUUGUGUUAGGAAAAUAAGCCAAGAAGCUUUCAAAGGUCACUGCCAGCCUAUUUGCAUCUUGUCAGAGCACAUUAUGGACUGCCUGCUACUUCCCUACAUUCACACAGACACACAAAACCUCAUGGAAUAAACCAUGUCAAAUUAUAUCAGGGAAAAAAAGAAAAUAUAAAAAUAACAGACAUUUUUCAGAAUGCUUGAGAAAUCCAUGAGAAUCAGUCAUCAAACAUAACCUGUACUUUCAGAAGGCUAAUGGGGCUACAUUUAAAAUCAGUCCCGAGUGAUUUAGGAGACUGAGGGCUGCUGACUUAGUGUAGUGUGAGACAUGGUGCCCAUGGCUCUUAUGCUGUGCCAAGGAGGAUGGAGAGGCACCACUGGUCUACAUGCGCCAGUACAAAAGGCACCGUGAUCACACCAGAAAGGUGAGAUGGCUGUCACCCCCCUUGAGGGACAGGAUGUAACCUGCAGAUAGAGGCACCUAAAUUUAGAUUUCUGAUAGUUAUUACCUAAAUGUGAACUGAGUGUCUCAGCUCCCAAACAGUCAUAAGGUCAGUCAGUCCCAGCUGACUGGAUGCAGGUGCCUAUUUCUGUGUAUGCUGAAAUGCUCCCAGGUGUGGCUGGAUUGCUUGGGGCCUCACUUUAGUUGCUUGCACACCAGCAUAGUGUCAUUUGAGAUGCCCCAGCGUCUCCUGCUCAACUUCCAGUGACCACUGCAGGAGCACAUGAAUUUCCCGUACCUCCUCUAUCAGAUCUGGCAGUCCUGUGCAGAUAUUUUGGAUACCCUUAGGCAUCUGAAAUCACCUUUGUAAGUGCAAAUGGAUUGAGUGCUCAAUCUCCCUAGCUAUUUCAAAGUUGAGAUGCCUAACUUAUAUGUAGGCACCUAUUCCACUGUAAGGACUUAA